rnacentral:rRNA from 1 species
AUUGAACGCUGGCGGCAUGCUUUACACAUGCAAGUCGAACGGCAGCGCGGGCUUCGGCCUGGCGGCGAGUGGCGAACGGGUGAGUAAUACAUCGGAACGUGCCCAGUAGUGGGGGAUAGCUCGGCGAAAGCCGGAUUAAUACCGCAUACGACCUGAGGGUGAAAGCGGGGGAUCUUCGGACCUCGCGCUAUUGGAGCGGCCGAUGGCAGAUUAGCUAGUUGGUGGGGUAAAGGCCUACCAAGGCGACGAUCUGUAGCUGGUCUGAGAGGACGACCAGCCACACUGGGACUGAGACACGGCCCAGACUCCUACGGGAGGCAGCAGUGGGGAAUUUUGGACAAUGGGCGAAAGCCUGAUCCAGCAAUGCCGCGUGUGUGAUGAAGGCCUUCGGGUUGUAAAGCACCUUUGGCGGGAACGAAAAGGACUGUGCCAAUACCACGGUUCGAUGACGGUACCCGCAGAAUAAGCACCAGCUAACUACGUG